UACGGGGGGGCAAGCGUUGUUCGGAAUUACUGGGCGUAAAGGGCUCGUAGGCGGCCAACUAAGUCAGACGUGAAAUCCCUCGGCUUAACCGGGGAACUGCGUCUGAUACUGGAUGGCUUGAGUGUGGGAGAGGAAUGCGGAAUUCCAGGUGUAGCGGUGAAAUGCGUAGAUAUCUGGAGGAACACCGGUGGCGAAGGCGGCAUUCUGGACCAUUACGUGACGCUGGACGGAGACGAAAGGCCA
rnacentral:rRNA from 1 species